GAACUCUCAUUUUCUUUUCAAAUGGUGCAACGCAUACAACAGCAGUGUUCAUUCUUUCUCUGCAGAUCUAAAAACACACAUAGAAACCCUAAAACCUUCAUCUUCUACAAAACACGCACAACAUCAGCCCUGUUCUCCAUCUCGCUCGCCUGAAUAUCACCGGCGACCUCCGGCGCCUCGAGUUUUCUCCGGCGACAAGACUCCAAUUAGACACAAGCAAGCACCCUCCUUCUACCCGAUUACACCCACCCACACAACUCAUCUCAACCCCCCCCGCCCCCCCCCUUCGAUCAGUGAAACCGACCACCACCACCGUUGGGUGGUGGUGAGCGACGACCAGAAGAGACGAGACAGAGAGAGAUGACAGAGGGAGAGAGAGAACGACGUACAGCAGAACCGCCAUUUGCGGCGGCGACGAAACAGAAAGGGAGACGGGGAGAGGAGCAGCGCCGCUGCCGCCGCUCACAGCGGCGGUGCUCUCGGGUUCCGACGAUCUUGAGACGUGAUGAUGAUGAAGAUGAUAGGUGAUUGACACCACUGCCGGCGGCUGUGGUGGAGCUUAUGCGUGGUUCAGUUCCGUCAACAACUUAACGGGUUCAUUCAUUUCAUAUUCGGUUAGGUUUGAGUUUAUUUUAUGUUUGGUUCAGGCUCGGUCAAGUGGUCAACGGCUCAUAUGUUUAAGUUUCGGUUCACAUGGUUCAGUCUUGGUUCGGGUUAUGUCUUGGCUCGGUUCAAGGUUGGUUUAACUUGGUUCGGUUCAGGUCAAAUUCGACUCGGUCAACACCAGGUCAUACCUGGUCAAAGCAGAUCAAAGACAGUCAACAAGUCAAACCAGUCAACACAUCUGGUUGACUGGUCAAAGCUGGUCAACAGGAGACUCGGCCAGGUUCAGUUUUGCGGUUCCGUUAUGGUUCGGGUUCCAGUUCAGUUUCGAGACGUUUGGUUCAAAAUAGUCACAGUGAAUGGUUCGGGUCAGACUUGGCAGUCAAGGUCUAGUCAACACGCAGUCAAACAGGUCAAACGCGGUCAACGCAUGACCCGGAAUGAUAUAGUUGCACGCUAGCAGUUCACAUUCUUGGAAUGACAUCAUGGAAUCACUUCUAGCUAGCUUUGCACAGGAAUAUUAAGCUAAAGGCGAAAAGAACGUGUUCUAUGACAAGCUUUGGAAUGAAGACACGACAUUGAUGCAAUCAGAGGAUCAAGAUGAUCGAGUUGCAGCUGUCCACUGACCAACACCGAAAGGAUCUGAAGAAUUGAAGAUCAAAAGAUUCACGAGCAUCAUUCAAGGGGGAGUUUGUUGAUACACUCCCUAUUUGUGACACGUGAAGACAUCUGAAGAUCCGACAACAUGUGAAGAUCGAACCAUCACGAGCAGCAUCCAAGGGGGAGUUUGUUGAUGCACUUUGUGGAUGCGGCUCGGUUUGGUUCGACUCGGUUCGGUUUGGCUCAAGACCGACGUCACGACAUUCCUCCGUCGUGCGCCCCAGAGUUCGAUACGUGAAGCACGAAGCGCCGCGAGCUAACAUCACCAUGACAUCAUCAUGAUGAUGAUGUCAUGAUGAUGUCACAUUAUAGCAUGGACUACAAAGAAGUAAAUGUUCUGCAUGAACUUGAACGUUGAUUUAAUACAUAAUUGGGCCAAUCAGUUUCUUUAGGCUUGCAUUGGGCUGACAUCUCUACGAACUUUCCAAUGUUGCACGAAGACACAUGUGACGAACAGUGUAACAUGACGAACCCUUACAGUUCGUGAGCUUCACUAAGGGUUCGUAGCCCUGCUUACAGUUCGUGGGCUUUCUUAAGAGUUCGUGGCCAGCUAACAGUUCGUGAUGGUGCUGUUAUACUUCGCCUAUUUAAACGGCUUGCUGAAUCAGAGAAGGGUCAGACACACAGUGAGACACGAGAGAACACACAGUAGGUUUGUGAGAGCAUUAUCUUGUUCUAUUAUUGUAACAAACUCUACCGAAUCAAUACAUUUGAGCUUGAAACGUUGAAUUAUUGUCUUGUAUUUUCGUGUUCUUUGCUUGAUUUGCUUACCCGGUUGGAUUCCGCACAACUGGGUGUGUUCGGUAACAAGGAUUAGGUGUUCCGCACAACCUAUUCCUGUACACAAUGGUGUGUAUGAGCUGAAUCCGAAACCCGACAUUUUCAAUGCAUACGAACUGUAUGAUCCUAUGAGAAAAGCUGAUACGGUCCGUAUUGUCCUAAAACUAAUAAUAUGUGGUGACCUCACUAUGCGGAUCGUAUGGUCUGCUGACCAAAAGUAUUAUUGUCCGUAUUGCAGUGAAAUUUAGAAUAUGUGAUAAUGUCAUAAUACAGAUCAUAUGUCCAGAUGAUCAACCAAUCUUGCUAGGAUAAGCAUUUUAAACAUGUUUUAAACCCGCAAAAAGACUUAAAAUAAAAAUGUAAAUAUGAGACAUAAAACACAAGGUUAAGAGGAUCAAGGGAACUAAGGAAACACCACACUUGUUUUACUCACUGCCGUUUACAAAAAUUAAUUAAUAAAAGUGAUUUGUCAAAACUUUGGAAAAUAAGCCGGCACAAAAUGGUAGUCGGUAUGGACCUAAACAACAUGGAGGAGUUUCUGUUUGAAACAAUCACAGAUGAAGUGAUAUUCGAGAUCUUUGGUCUGCAACUGCUUCAUUCGGUCUGGGGUGUGACGUGUGAAUGGAAAUUACUCGUGUAUGAAGAAAAAUGUCAAUUAGAUUUCAUCAUAUGUGCUCUAAUACAAAUCUUUGAUAUGCACACGAGUGAACUAACAAAUCUAACUCUUUAAGAUGACAAAUUAGUAAUCGGAUUUUCAUUUCUAUAAAAUGAGUUAGUAAAUUAAUCAAACUCAUAAUUUUAAUAGUAGGUCCGGAUUCGGAUCUUGAACACAAGGAUUGUAGGUCCCGAUACGGAUCGUCGGACGAAAGUGAUUUCUUGUUUCGGAUGCCAUAGCGAGUGCGGAAUCCAAGCUACGUCACAAACCGAGCGAGAGAAUGUAAUACACAAUAAGAUUCACCCUUAAAUGAUUUCGUCUAUUGAUUUCUACAGAGUUUUGGUACAAUAUUCGAACAAUACAAAGCUCCGAUCACUCUCACACUCUCAGUUUUUGAAUGAAUCCUAUCCCGUUGUAUUUAUAGGCGAUACAUCACUUUACACGCGAAACGAAAAUACUACGCAUGAAACAAGACGAAGCAGGCACGAAAUAUUUGCUAUAUGUUACACGAACUAGACCAUGUUCACACAUAUAUUUGGUGUGUCUCAUGUAUUUCAUGUGUGCAUGCAUGUUUACAUAUAUUUCGUGUGAUUCAUACAAUUCAUGCACUACUGUUUCGUGUGUAUUUAUAAAGAUACAUGCAUGGGUUCAAUAAUCAUGACAUCAUCAUCAUGAUGUCAUGAUGAUGUCAGUCUCGUUUCGUAUCGUAUCGUUGUCUUCAUCACUUGUAUCUCAUAUGCCGAGUCGAACCGAAGGAGGAACGCCGUUGACUUCGGUCGCGACUUGAACAGUCUCGAACGUCACUAGCGGCAUCCACACUAAUUGCAUCAACAAACUCCCCCUUGGAUGAUGCUCAUGAUGUUCGAUUUCACACUGAUGGAUCUUGAGAACAUCUUCACUUGUCACAGACAGUAGGUGCAUCAACAAGCUCCCCCUUGAAUGUAGCUUGUGAAUCUGUUGAUCUUCAAAGCUUUAGAUCCUUGGUGUUGAUGAGUGGUCAACUGCAACUUGAUUAUCUUGAUCAUCUUGAUCCACUAAUUGCAUCCAUGUUGUGUCGUCAAUUCUUAGCUUGUCCUCUGACACGUUCUAUUUUCCUAUAGCUUGCUUGAAUGCUACAUCUGCACACACCAAAAAGCUAAACGCAUAAUGAGAACAACCACUAGGGUUUUAAUCAAUCUUAGAGAAUUUUCAACUGAAAACCUCACUAAGGAUUGAUCACUAAGGAUUGAUUUAUACAGUAUUAACUGACGACACACAUGGGAGACCAACUUUCAUUCAACUACCAAUCGUCAAAAUUUUGAAAGUUUCAAAAUUGUUCAAUUUUAGAUCUUUAACUUUCAAAAUUUGUCAACUUCGACCAUUUAUGAAGAUUCGAUCAUAAACGGUACCGGUAUCGGUAGUAGAUUUUUCGAAAUUCGGUAUCGGUAAAAAACGGUAUCGGUAUAGGUAUUUUUCGGUAAAUACCGGUUUUAAUACCAAAUUUAAUAAUGAAUUCCAAUGACUUUUUAGGUUGGAUUACGAAGAGUCCAAGUCCAACUAAUCUUAUUGGCUACUACAAUAUAUUGAAAUAAUAUAACAAAACCUAAACAUAAAAUCCAAAGGAAGGAUCGUCUGUUACUCUGUUUCAUGUUUUCUUCAAGGUAUUAAAAAAAUUCAAAUCUAUGUUUCAUGUUUGCUUCUUUUUUCUGUUUUUUUAUUUAACAUUUAUAUAUUGCAAAGGAAGUAUCUUCUGUAGUCUGUAUGUUAGGAGGGUUUCGGCUUAGGCAUAAAAUAAACAUCGAUGUAAAUUGAUUAGUUACUUGAAAGCCCUCCAUAAUUCAUCGAUGUAAAAUAAUUAUUAGUGUGGGUGGAUAAUGAAUCCCAUUGGCCAUCCAUUCAUUUGAAAGCCUCCAUAAUCAUAGCUUUGUGUAAACCCUCCAUAGCUCUGUGUAAAAAAACCUUGCGUUUAGGUGAUCGUGUUGCUAUAUUUUUUACUUGUGUUAAACUUCAAAUAUGUUUACAAAAGACGAACUCAAUCUAACUUGCUCGGCAGGUAUUUUAAUAUUAAUCACUUCAACACUCCUGUUAUUCAAGAAUUUAUAUUCUUUUUUUUUUUCAAAAAGAGUUCUUCAUUAAAGAUAUUGCAACAUGUCCGUAUCAUAUUUAUAUUAGUUAAACUGAUUCACAAGUUGUUAUGUAUUUUAUUAAUAUUGAUAAGUUUUUAUAUUUUUUUUUUAUUUUAGAUUUGAAUUCUUCUAAGUUUUUUACGGCAACUUCAUCAUCGGUAAAAAGCAUGGAUAACAUCAAAACAGUACCAGUGUGGUAAAGUACCGAAAUACCGGUACCGAUACCGGUACCGAAUCUAUAACGGUACGGUAAUCGGUAUCACAUUUCCUCAAUUUCGGUAACGGUAUUUACGGUAUUGGUACCGGUACGGUACCGGUAUCGUACCGAUCUCAUCCCUAUUAAUGAAAAUCCACAAAUUUAAGGGGUAAGUGAUGAACAAGACUAAAACAAAAUGUAAAAUGGAGGGGGUAGAAUAGUAAAUUUCACACCUUACCCAUACCCACGCACAACCAUAAAAACCUAGUUUUCAACAAUUCGACAGACGUAUCUUUAUUAGCCAGUACCGCCAUACACAACCCUAACUUGUAACGAUCAUUAACAAUGUUAGAGGAAAAGAGGCGACGUGAUCUCAAGGGAACUGAAGAACGUACAUGUUACUCGAUCAUAACAUGUUGAAAAUUCAUAGGUUAUAACAAGUACCCCGUGCACAUGGGUGUGAUGCAGCUGAUGGAUUUUUAAGUGAUUGGUGGGGGCAAGACCCAAAUUCCCUGGAGAAUCUUUUGGAUGAAGAUUAUGAUCCGUCUCCAUCUACAUCCCAACUGACCCACAGGAAAGAUCGCAGGAGAUCAGUUUCCAGAACCAAAGAUACAGUUGUGGUCCCCGAAAAGCGUUCUAAAUUCAAGGUUGCUCGCGUACAUUCUGAUGACGAGAACGCUUUGCCUGAAAAAGAAAGUGAGUCAGGGCCAGACCCAAAUUCCCCGGAGAAUCUUCUGGAUGAAGAUUAUGAUCCGUCUCCAUCUACAUCCCAACUGACCCACAGGAAAUAUCGCAGGAGAUCAGUUUCAAGAACCAAAGAUACAGUUGUGGUCCCCGAAAAGCGUUCUAAAUUCAAGGUUGGACAACAUGUUAUACUUACAGAUGAUAAGGGACAAGAGGUUGGAAAAGGAACCAGAAACAAGUGUACAUCAGUUUGCCGGAAAAGGAGCUCCCUGAAGGUCUAAUUCACUCUUGAAGAUAAUCUUUUCUUCUAUCUCAAUAUGGUGUAAUUGGUUCUUGUCAUUAAAACUAGAAACAAGUUUAGAUGGUGUUUGUUUUUACCGCGAGUACAAUUGGCAAACUUAAAUUUUUCACCUCCUUGAAGGGACUACAAGUCCAAGAAAUUCCUGAGUCAUUUGGUACUAUGAUAUUACUAGGAAAAUGGGAGAUGAAGCAUGCUUUACUUUAUCUAGUGAAAUGCCCCAGUCAUUUGGUAUUUUGAUACUCUCCCUAAUUUGUAACGCCUCUUUCUAGCUCUUGUUUCCUUAUUUCUAUUUUAUUGGAUCUUCUUUCUAGUUUAUUAUUGUAACCAGAAUUCCAUAUUGGCUUACUUGUAAUAGGUUUGGUCAUGAGAACGCAUAUAGUAAUAGUUUAUAACAUGUUGAUUUUU